rnacentral:misc_RNA from 1 species
CGAUAAGUAAUGUGAAUUGCAGAAUUCAGUGAAUCAUCGAAUCUUUGAACGCACAUUGCGCCCGCCAGAAUUCUGGCGGGCAUGCCUGUUCGAGCGUCAUUUCAACCCUCGAGCUCCCCUUGCGGGGGGAGCCCGGCGUUGGGGACGCGGCGCCAACAGCGCCGGCCCCGAAAUGGAGUGGCGGCCCGUCCGCGGCGACCUCUGCGUAGUAACAUCCACUCGCACCGGGACCCGGGCGCGGCCACGCCGUAAAACACCCCACCUUCCGAAUGUUGACCUCGAAUCAGGUAGGAAUACCCGCUGAACUUAAGC